UAUUUUAUUUCGUCCAAUUAAUGAGAAACAAUGAUCGUAAUAAUUCCUCACAAAUUUUGCGAUUAUCAACACGAAAUCAGAUAAUAUACAAAGAAUUAAAUGUUAGAAAUUUAAUGCUCGUUUUAUUUCACUUCACAAAAACAACAUGUUCAUACAGAUUAAUUAAAAAAAUAUUUAUCCAUUAAAAACAAUUCAUGCAAUGGACGAUUAUCGGUCGGAUUUAGGCUGUGAAACUAGUCAUCCUCUCCUCCAUACUCAAUCAAAUAGAUGGAAUAGGACCGGACGGAGUAAUGGACGUCCUCCGUUUGAUAAAAGUUGGAUUCGAAAAAGAUUUAACAAACGUGGAGCUGCAUACAUCUUUCUACUCAUUCUUAUAUGCAUCUUCAUAGUUAUCUAUUAUUGGUGGGAACUAGAUUCAAGCCUUCGUAUAGUUCCAAUCGAACAAAUUAUUAGUAAACCAACCAAUAUGGUCACAUUUAAUGAACUAAUUCAGGAAAAUUUCGAGUUUGACAUAAAAGGGUCAGAUGUCAUGGUUUUCCUGCACAUGCAGAAAACUGGGGGAACUGCCUUUGGCAAGCAUCUAGUUGAGGAUCUCGAACUGGAGAGAGAAUGUGAGUGCUCCAAAGGAUCAAUAUUGGGGAAAAAGAAGAAGAAGUUAAGAUGCAAUUGUUUUAGACCUGGGAAAGGUAAGAAGCAUUGGUUGUUUUCAAGGUAUAGUACAGGAUGGAAGUGUGGACUACAUCCGGACUGGACCGAGCUUACUUCCUGUGUGGACCACUACCUCCAGGGGUUGGAGGGCAAUGAAGCUUCAAGAAGAUAUUUUUACAUCACUUUUCUACGUGAACCAACAGCUAGAUUUAUUAGUGAAUUUAAGCAUGUACAGAGAGGUGCUACAUGGAAGACUUCAACAUAUAUGUGCGGGGGAAUAAGCUGGUACAAGAAACUUCCAAAAUGUUACGAGGGUGAGGAUUGGUCCUAUGUUGACCUUGAGAGCUUUAUAUCCUGUAAACAUAAUUUUGCGGUCAAUAGACAGACAAGGAUGCUGGCUGAUCUAGAACUAGUGAAUUGCUACAACAGUUCUAGAAUGUCUCCUGAGACCAGGGAUAGAAUACUUCUCUCCUCUGCUAAAGCAAACCUGGAGAAAAUGGCGUACUUUGGUGUUACAGAGGAACAGAGGACAUCACAGUAUCUGUUCGAGGCUACAUUCAACCUCAGGUUCAACACCAUAUUAGGACAGUUCAAUAACACCCAUUCGGAGGACGCGGCGGAGAGUUUAACGAAGGAGACAUUGAACCGAAUACGGAAUUUGAAUAGUUUAGAUCACGAGUUGUAUACGUUUGCUCUGCAGUUGAUGGAGAAGAGAUUUCUUACAAUGCAGGGCCUGGAUCCAGGAUACAGGGAGCAUAUGAUUAGACUGAAAACAGCUCCAUCAAAUACAGAUAUAGAACCUGAGGAUUACUAAAUAUUCACCUCUUAUAUAAUCUUGAAGCAAUUAAAUGAAAACUUAUGACAAAUUUUGUAUUAAAUAUUAACAAUUUUAAAUAUGGAGAUUACCAAGGUUAUUGUACCGAUUCCAAGUAAACCGUUACCCCGCUAACAAAGUAACGAAACGCUCUUUGAUCCAUCACCCUUUUUCCCCAAAAAUGAAUAAACCUUGUAUUCCAAAAUAUUAAACAAUUUAAAAAAGUGUUAGCAAUACUUACAAAAAACAUUAUAUCAAUAAUAUGUACCGUGUGUGUCAAAACAAACAAAUAAUGCUUCUUAUAGUAAAGUUUAUUUUCUGAAAUCCAAUUUUUAUGUUAACUAUGGAAGACUUUCAGAAUUAUUUUUUACCCACCGUUCUUAUAUGUUCAUUAUAUACCUAAUUUUAUCGAAAAUCUCACCAUACGACUGUGAUAGUUUUUUUUAUUGAUUUAUAUUUCCUCUAACUGUACUAAAGCAGC
rnacentral:misc_RNA from 1 species